GACGAACCGAGCGAACGUUGUUCGGAAUCACUGGGCUUAAAGGGCGCGUAGGCGGGCAUUCAAGUCCGUGGUGAAAUCCGGCAGCUCAACUGUCGAACUGCCGCGGAUACUGGGUGUCUCGAGGGAGGUAGGGGCGUGCGGAACUAUUGGUGGAGCGGUGAAAUGCGUUGAUAUCAAUAGGAACUCCGGUGGCGAAGGCGGCACGCUGGACCGUUUUCUGACGCUGAGGCGCGAAAGCCAGGGGAGCAAAGCGGG
rnacentral:rRNA from 1 species